AGUGGCGCACGGGUGAGUAAUGUAUAGCUAACAUGCCCCUUAGAGAGGGANAACUACUAGAAAUGGUAGCUAAUACCUCAUACUCCUUUCUACUUAAUGUAGAUUGGGAAAUGUUUUUUCGCUAANGGAUUGGGCUAUNUGGUAUCAGGUAGUUGGUGGGGUAAGAGCCUACCNAGCCAAUGACGCCUACCUGGUCUGAGAGGAUGAUCAACCACACUGGAACUGANACACGGUCCANACUCCUACGGGAGGCAGCAGUGGGGAAUAUUGCACAAUGGAGGAAACUCUGAUGCANCNACGCCGCGUGGAGGANGACGCAUUUCGGUGUGUNAACUCCUUUUAUAUGGGAAGAUAAUGACGGUACCAUAUGAAUAAGCNCCGGCUAACUCCGUGCCAGCAGCCGCGGUAAUACGGAGGGUGCNAGCGUUACUCGGAAUCACUGGGCGUAAAGCGCGCGCAGGCGGUUAGAAAAGUCAGAUGUGAAAUCCUAUGGCUCAACCAUAGAACUGCAUCUGAAACUCUCUAACUAGAGUGUGGGAGAGGUAAGUGGAA
rnacentral:rRNA from 1 species